UAUACACAGAACCAAAGCCUCCUUUACCCAACUUGUCCUUGAAGCCUCCAGUCAUUUUCCUAAUGUCUUUGUAAGAAUACCUUAUUGGCAUCAAAUUAUUUUGACUUUGUAGAAAUUCUUCAACCAUGUCAUAGCCCGAAAAAUGUCUCCUUCGCCAUUUAUAGAUCAAAAAUGCGAUCACGAAUGGAGUCCCACAUAAAGUUUUUGUGAUACAAUGGAGUAUUCCUAUGAAUAUACAUCCAAAGGAGAGAAUAUUAGAAGGGAGAGAAUAUUAGUUGCUAUCAGAAUUAUGCUUAAUGUAAAUGCGGUCAAGUUAAUAACUGCAGUCCCCAGGUUCUAACAAUUACCCUAACUUCGCUUACACUUGGAUGCUAUUGCACACAAGAACAGCAGAAAAGGCUUAUCUUCUGCCAAUAAACUACAUCUUAAGAUUCAUAAUUUGAAGAAAUGCGUUUAACUCUUACCAAGGAGAACAAGUACAGUUAGGAAUGACCUUUUAAUUCGAAAGAAAAAAGCGUCUGUUUUGGAAGAAUCAUAUAAGUAUGUGCACCGAAUUCCAAAAUUGAGGUAGCAAACCCUUCUGAAAAAUCCACUUAUGCAUUGAACAGUAUUUGUCUCAUCGAAAUAGCAACCUCUGCAACGCCCGCAGUAGAUAAAGUGCCAUGAAAGCUCAAACCCAUAUGCUAACUCUCUCUGAAUUUCAACAAAAGACAUGUUAUUAUAAUCCUUCUCAGGUAACAGAGCCACCAUUUCUAUGCUGCACAUACUCAUCAAAUCCUUGCCUUCCAUGCCCCCAACAUUCACAUAAGAAUUCUCUACUCCACCAAUAGUGCAAGGAGCAGUUUCCACAUAAAGAGAAGAGUUAAAAUACACUGGGAUUACUGGCUGGACACAGUUUAUGAAAGUAAUAGUUGUUGAUAAUUUGGCAUCCCAAUCUAACGCUGUCCGUUUGGAUUUAGAGACAGUAUAUGGAUCUUCUAAACUGAAGUUAAACUCAGUUAAAGGAAAACGAGGGAUGGAAGAGCAGUCAUCUUGAUCAUGAACACCAGCAUCCACAAGUCUGAUGGUGAAGUUAUCGUAGUUGAUUGCCUGCACAUAGUACUUCCCAUUAUAGAGAGAUAAAACUGUGAAAUUGCCUUCGCAGGACAGGGUAUAUCUGUGGUCUCCGCAGUUUUUGGGGUCGGUUUGAAGUCGAAAAGGGUAGCUAAUGUCGUGGAUGUUGCCACAGGAAGAAGGGGUACAAAGACUGUUACCCUUACCAUUGCAAGUUUGGAGGACUUGCAGGAAAAGAAAGGCUGUGUAGCCAGCAAAGAGGACCCUUUCUCUGAACAUUACAGGGGAGAGAAUCCUG
rnacentral:misc_RNA from 1 species